UAUGUAUGUGUGCCUGUCUGUUUGUAUGUAUGUGUCAAAGAUACAUACAUACAAACAGACAGGCACACAUACAUACA